rnacentral:rRNA from 1 species
CGGAAGGGUGAGGAACGCGUGAGUAAUCUGCCCCUCAGUUGGGAAUAACAGUUGGAAACGACUGCUAAUACCGAAUGUGGCUUAGGUUCCGCAUGGGACUUUGGCUAAAGAUUUAUCGCUGAGGGAUGAGCUCGCGUCCCAUUAGGUAGUUGGUGAGGUAACGGCUCACCAAGCCGACGAUGGGUAGCUGGUCUGAGAGGAUGGUCAGCCACACUGGGACUGAGACACUGCCCAGACUCCUACGGGAGGCUGCAGUCGAGAAUCUUGGGCAAUGCGCGAAAGCGUGACCCAGCAAUGCCGCGUGUAUGAUGAAGGCCCUCGGGUCGUAAAAUACUGUCUCCCGUGACGAAAUUUGACGGUAGCGGGGAAGGAAGCCACGGCUAACUACGUGCCAGCAGCCGCGGUAAUACGUAGGUGGCGAGCGUUGUUCGGAUUUAUUGGGCGUAAAGGGUCUGUAGGAGGUUUGUUAAAUACGGGGUGAAAUCCGGAAGCUCAACUUCCGAAUUGCCUUGUAGACUGACGGACUGGAGUACCGGAGAGGUAAGCGGAAUACCAGGUAUAGCGGUGGAAUGCGUAGAUAUCUGGUAGCACACCAAAAGCGAAGGCAGCUUGCUGGACGGAAACUGACUCUGAAAGACGAAAGCAUGGGGAGCAAACAGGAUUAGAUACCCUGGUAGUCCAUGCCGUAAACGUUGUCAACUUGAUGUGGGGGGAUUUAGUCCUCUCCGUAUCGAAGCUAACGCGAUAAGUUGACCGCCUGGGGACUACGGCCGCAAGGCUAAAACUCAAAGGAAUUGACGGGGGCCCGCACAAGCGGUGGAGCAUGUGGCUUAAUUCGAGGCAACGCGAAGAACCUUACCUGGUCUUGAAAUAUAUCGGAUCG